AACGAACGCUGGCGGCAGGCCUAACACAUGCAAGUCGAACGAUAUAGUGGCAGACGGGUGAGUAACGCGUGGGAACGUACCUUUCACUACGGAAUAGCUCCGGGAAACUGGUGGUAAUACCGUAUACGCCCUCAGGGGGAAAGAUUUAUCGGUGAAAGAUCGGCCCGCGUUGGAUUAGCUAGUUGGUGAGGUAAUGGCUCACAAAGGCGACGAUCCAUAGCUGGUCUGAGAGGAUGAUCAGCCACACUGGGACUGAGACACGGCCCAGACUCCUACGGGAGGCAGCAGUGGGGAAUCUUGCACAAUGGGCGAAAGCCUGAUGCAGCCAUGCCGCGUGAAUGAUGAAGGCCUUAGGGUUGUAAAAUUCUUUCGUCAGGGAUGAUAAUGACCGUACCUGAAGAAGAAGCCCCGGCUAACUUCGUGCCAGCAGCCGCGGUAAAAC
rnacentral:rRNA from 1 species